AUUGAACGCUAGCGGCAGGCUUAACACAUGCAAGUCGAACGAGUGGCGGACGGGUGAGUAAUGUCUGGGAAACUGCCUGAUGGCGGGGGAUAACUACUGUAAACGGUAGCUAAUACCGCAUACCAUCAGAUGUGCCCAGAUGGGCUUAGCUACUUGGUGGGGUAAAGGCUCACCCAGGCGACGCUCCCUAGCUGGUCUGAGCGGAGGACCAGCCAGACUGUAACUGAGACACGGUCCAGACUCCUACGGGAGGCAGCAGUGGGGAAUAUUGCACAAUGGGCGCAGGCCUGAUGCAGCCAUGCCGCGUGUAUGAAGAAGGCCUUCGGGUUGUAAAGUACUUUCAGCGGGGAGGCGUUACCCGCAGAAGAAGCACCGGCUAACUCCGUGCCAGCAGCCGCGGUAAUUC
rnacentral:rRNA from 1 species